GAAACUGGGGAAGAAAGAGAAAGAGGUUGUGAGGAACCACCUUGCAGUCCAGCCACUCAACAGGAACAGGAUGGCAUUUUGCACAAACUUUGACUUGUCUUGUUCCUUUAAUAUGGACACGACUCUCCCAGCCCCUGCUCCUCUACCUAGCCCUUCCUCUUUCUUCCCCAUCCCUACUUCUUGCUCCUCAUGCCUUUCUGUCCAUGUGUGCCUGACCUAUUGUCCUGGAAAGCCCCUGGAGAGGGCUUGGCUUGGAUGCAGCCCAGGAAGAGACUGGCCAUAUUCUCUCAUUUAUAGUUCUCCAAAGAUCCAGAGUGGACCAUAAAACAGGCUCCUAGUGUCCAGUCCUAAAGCACGUGAGAAGCCUGGUGACACCCAAGAACCAGGAAGAUGCCUGAGCUGCUGGAAGAGGGGACCUGGGCACAGAGAGAACACAAGAGCCAUGGGGACUGGUGUACCUGUUGUCAUUAAUAUCUGUAGCAUUUCCUGAAGGCAUCAUCAGUGAGAACACAGGAUUAGGAGAAGAAAAAAGAGACUGGGUGUUAGAGGCCGUCUCCCCACACCCUCUCUCAUCCUACCCCUUAGAGAUAAAGGUACGACUUUGGAGUACAGCUGCCACCUGGGUCUGUGGCACUCUAUUCUCCACCACCCCGGGUGCACGACCAUUUUGUUUGAGAAAGGUCUCCCUGAUUCCUGCUGAAGGAAAGGAGAAGGGGCGGCAGGGGAGGUGAGGACAGGCACGGCAACAGGGGGAACUCACUUCUAAGAGUCCAAGACCCCAAAGGGAUGGGCAGUGUUCAAGCUGUAGGUACAGGGUCACUUACUUCUCUUACACUUUUCAACUCUCCCUGGGGAUCCCAAAGGCUGGUCACCCAUCUUUUUCACUCACCAUUGUCCAUGUUGGCCUUCUGGUAGGACGCCAGGGGACCGCCAGAAGACGUGGCCCCACUGCUGGUACAGGAGUUUGCAAAGCUGGAUGGAGCAAGGAGAGAGAUGCAGAAACCUCUGGCACCCUCCCUCCACUGUGCCCCAUAAUCCCCUCAGGGAUGGAGCCAUACACACCUCCCAGGCCCAGAGAACAGAGGACAACCAAGAUGGCCACAGGCUGGGAAGGCAAUGCCCACUGUCUAAACAGAGGUGUGAAGAGGCUAUGAAGCCACUAAGGGAAAGAAUUAAGUGUCAGCCAAUAACUGACCCAACCUAGGCCUUCUGGAGUGUAGAGAGCCUUGGGUCAGGACUCCCGCCCACGCCUUGGGCCACUCACUACAUGUCUGAGGUGGAGCUUGGUGCACCCUGCAGGUACAAAUUCUGGUAGUUCUGGAAGAGGCUGUUGGUAUAACUGAUGCACUCAGGGCUCCGGGUGCCGUAGGGGUUAGUGGGUGAAGAUGCUGGGUAGUGGCCAGGCCGCACAGGUUUGGCUGUGGUAAAGAAAGGAAAAUGACGGUGAGGAGGCUGUUUCCCUGCAGUUGCCCUGGUUCCUGAAGUCAUUUAGCUGGAGCUGAACUGAGUUCAGCUAACAUCACUCACUUUUAUACAUGUGGGGGACGGUAGUGGGGUGAUCCUGGGGCAGAGGCAGGGUGAAAAGCGAUCAUCUAGGUGCUGGACACUUAGGAAUUUGCCGAUCUCCCCCAGGGGUAAUCCCACCUCAUCUGCUGCCACCUACUCCCACUCACCAAUCUGAGCAGAAUGGCCCCGCUUGCCGGAGCUCUUGUACCGAACGGCCUCCUUGAUGCGGUCCACCUCCUGCUGGUACCGGCGCUUGUCCUUCAUGGCACCUUCCUUGGCCUCCUUUAGUGCACCCUCCAGGGCCUUAACUCUCUCAGCCGUAGCCCUAAGUCGUUUUUCCAAUUUAGGAAGCUCACAACGCAGAUCUGCAUUGUCACGUACCAGCUGUGGGGUAAGCCCAAGGGAAGAGGCCAAAGCAAAGCCAGCAACCCAAGAGAGAGCCAGCAGUGGAGCGUGGGGGUGCGGGGCAGGGAGAGAGAAUAAAGAAAAAUCAAGUCAGACAAGACAGAGACCGCAUUCUUUCUUCGAAAGGCCUCAUUCCCUUCACCUAAUUGGUCCUCUGGUUCUCUCCUUCUCCCUGAGCAAACAGGGGUCAGGCAUUAAAAAGUCACAUCAUUUUCUGAGGAGUAAAACGUGCCAACUCCACUGUAGCUCAGAACUCUUGUGGCAGUGUCCUGUUCCCGUCUUUUCCUGGCCUAGCUACCCAUGCCCAAUAUCUCAUAGCUUGUGCCAGACCAGUAGCCCCAGGGCAACCAUGAGGCACCCCUCACCCAGAGAUGGCUUUGGAGGCAUGCAUGGGGCAGGGCGGCAAGAGCAUAGGAGCAGUCUGGAAGGUGGAUACGGUAUUGAGUGCAGGUUAGCUGCAGUGCAGAGCAGGAGCAGAAGCUGGAAUGUGGGAGCACCCGCCUCAUCCCCUCGUCCGCCCCCCACACACACACAUACAGCACCCCAUAGGAAGGAAAGAAAAUGUUUGAGGUCUUACAAACAUUUGUGCUCAUUACCUUCACAUUCAGGGAUUUCCUGGGGUGUCCCUCUCCCAUUUGAUUUAAGCUAGAGAGCAACCAUCUUGCAGCCAGAAAAAGACUCCCUGAUCUUUUUAUAGGGUUUCACACAAUGACUGGGGGCUCUCCAGCCUGCAGGAGCCGGCCUUGGAAGAUACCAGUCUUGUGUCUGCUGAGGUAGGACAUUAUGAGGAGUCCUCCAUCGUCUAGGGGAGUUGCUUUUGGUCGUUGGGACUUAGAGCAGAGAGAGGCAGCCACUUCAAUGAGGAAAACGGAAACAGCCCAGCCCUUGGUUUCCUGACACAUGCUACACUGUGGAUAAGCCUGGAGGACAUUAUGCUGAGUGCAGUUAGCCAGUUACAAAAAGACAGAUCCUGGAUGAUUCCACUUAUGUGAGGUACUCAGAGGAGUAAAAAUCACAGAGACAGAAAGAAGAAUGGUGUUUGCCAGGGGCUGGGAGGGAGGCACAAUGGGGAGUUACUGUUUAAGGGAUUCCCUUAAACAGUUUUACAAGACGACAGUGAUGGGGCAGGAUGGUAGGGGUGUUGCACCACAGCAUGAAUGCAUUUAAUGUCACUGAACUUAAAGAUAAGUAAAUUUUAUGUGGUGGUAAAUUUUAUGUGGGUUUUGUUUGGUUUUGUUUUAUCAUAACACAAAUAUUGGGGGGAAAUAAGCAAUAUGACGUGCAUUUGAACAGAGAAGGAAAGUGGACACACAGAAAGGGAAACAGAGUGGUAGAACUGAUUACAAAUGUUUCUUCCCUUGACUUUCAACUUUUCUGGAAUGUUGUUAUGUUGUUACACUGCUUUAUAAUAAACAAAGGGCGAAAGAGGAUAGUAUAGCCUUCUGCAGGCCCAAAUAAAAUAAAUGAACUCUGCAGAUCCUGACCAUUCUGGGAUUUUUUUUUUUUUUUUCAUUAUAGAUGUAAGAAAGAAAAGAAAGAAGAUGUACCAAGUAUUUGCUAAA